UACGUAGGGGGCUAGCGUUGUCCGGAAUCAUUGGGCGUAAAGAGCGUGUAGGCGGCCCGGUAAGUCCGCUGUAAAAGUCAAAGGCUCAACCUUUGAAUGUCAGUGGAUACUGCCGGGCUAGAGUCCGGAAGAGGCGAGUGGAACUCCUGGUGUAGCGGUGGAAUGCGCAGAUAUCAGGAAGAACACCAAUGGCGAAGGCAGCUCUCUGGGACGGUACUGACACUGAGACGCGAAAGCGUGGGGAGCGAACAGG
rnacentral:rRNA from 1 species